rnacentral:rRNA from 1 species
UACGUAGGGGGCAAGCGUUGUCCGGAAUUAUUGGGCGUAAAGAGCGCGUAGGCGGUCCGGUAAGUCGGUUGUGAAAGUCGGGGGCUCAACCCUCGGAUGCCGAUCGAUACUGCCGGGCUAGAGUCCGGAAGAGGCGAGUGGAAUUCCUGGUGUAGCGGUGAAAUGCGCAGAUAUCGGGAGGAACACCAAUGGCGAAGGCAGCUCGCUGGGACGGUACUGACGCUGAGGCGCGAAAGCGUGGGGAGCAAACAGG